AAAAUCUGCUCACUCAAUGGUAUCAGAUUUAGAGCUCUAUUAUAGAGGUCAGUUUAUUUUUCCUGCGCAAGCAAACACAUUACGAGGUCUGUAAAAGCCUUAGUAGAAUUAACGAAAGGGCAAGACAGC
rnacentral:sRNA from 12 species